AGUUCCUCAAAUGUUAAAGACUAAUGUCUCAACCAGAAGAAAAGAUUUUAAAACAGAAGCCUGUACAAGAUUUUAAAAAAGAGCUUUAGACCGGUUUCAUCAUAAUCCUCCCUUCUCAAGAAUCUUCUUCCUGUUCUGCAAAUCUAUUUGCAAGGAGUCCAUGUUCUCCAACGUAUGAUUAUAUAAAACGAAGACUAGUUUAUGGCGGAGGCACACAAGACCAGAGCUCUGGUUCAAUGACCUUUUCACUAUGGAACCCAACAAACAAACGUGCCUUUGAAAAACAAGUGUCUAAAAAAUAUUCACUUAAUGAAUAUUCACUUUUUCAUUCAAACAGGUAAAUGACAAUGUACAAGGAUGACAAGGUAUCAAGGUGUACAAUGCAUAGAAAUAAAGAUAUGUGUCUGAAA